AGUGAACGCUGGCGGUAGGCCUAACACAUGCAAGUCGAACGGCAGCACAGUAAGAGCUUGCUCUUACGGGUGGCGAGUGGCGGACGGGUGAGGAAUACAUCGGAAUCUACUUUUUCGUGGGGGAUAACGUAGGGAAACUUACGCUAAUACCGCAUACGACCUACGGGUGAAAGCAGGGAUCUUUGGACCUUGCGCGAUUGAAUGAGCCGAUGUCGGAUUAGCUAGUUGGCGGGGUAAAGGCCCACCAAGGCGACGAUCCGUAGCUGGUCUGAGAGGAUGAUCAGCCACACUGGAACUGAGACACGGUCCAGACUCCUACGGGAGGCAGCAGUGGGGAAUAUUGGACAAUGGGCGCAAGCCUGAUCCAGCCAUACCGCGUGGGUGAAGAAGGCCUUCGGGUUGUAAAGCCCUUUUGUUGGGAAAGAAAAGCAGCAGGUUAAUACCCCGCUGUUCUGACGGUACCCAAAGAAUAAGCACCGGCUAACUUCGUG
rnacentral:rRNA from 1 species